rnacentral:lncRNA from 1 species
GCUUUUGAGGCUUGAUUGUUUACUCACACAGAAUAGUUUUUCGGAUCAUAGAUGCAAACUCUUCAAGGGAAGGACUUUCUGAAUUAUCUUUAUACUCCCAGGACUUGGCAGAGAAGCCAGCACAGAAUUUAACAAAGUUGUGCUGGCUCAUGCCUGUAACCCUAGCACUUUGAGAGGCCAUGGUGGGAGGAUGGCUUGAGGCCAGGAGUUCGAGACAAAGGUGUGCUGCAUGAAAGAAUGGUAGUCAGUCUUCCUGUGUGAUGCUGAGGGAACAUUUUGUUCCACAACAGCCACCCAUAUAACAGACAUGGAGCAGUUUCCACCGGAUGAACUUAGACAAGUCAUCAGCUGCUAACGAGGCACCAGGGAAGUCCCAGUCAUAUCUACAUUUGCCUUCAGAUAACCUUUACGGGUUUGGAAAUUGCCAUGAUGAAAAUAGCAGAGUCGUACUGAGGUUGGGAGUUUGACCUGUCUAUUCAGGUGAAAACCACAAUGUCAAGAAGGAAAUGUUGGCAGCUAUGUGAAAGCACCAAAAACCAAUGAGUUGCGCGUCUUCAAUGGAUGAAGUAUACAGUAUGUCAAUUUUAUCUCUAUAAAGCUGCUACCAAAAAAAAGAAGGAAGUGUUUUUAAGGCAAAGAUCUGGUGACACAGAGGCUAUGCAGUAGCUAAGAGACUUUGUUUGUAUAUGUCUUGGUUAAGUUUGUCUGCACAAAAUGUGAAGCCAAGGUUUACUCAUUGAUCGAUCUGUUUAACAUCUGGACUCGGACAUGCAAGUGCUGUGAUAAGAGAGUUUGUAGAAGUAAAAUCACAAAACCACGUGAUCCUUGGUGCUGGGGACAGAGAAUAUAAUCUGCACAUGAAAAGCUGAUGAAAUGUAAACAUCCGAAACUGGGGGGGACCCAAAGCCAAGGUCAGUUCAUACAAAUAGGCCAGGCCAGGCAUGGUGGCUCAUGCCUAUAAUCCCAGCACUUUGGGAGGGCAAGGCGAGAGGAUCACUUGAGCCCAGGAAUUCGAGACCAGCCUGAGCAACAUAGUGGGAUCUCAUCCCUACAAAAAGUAAAAAAAAUAAAAAUAACAGCCUGGCAUGGUGGUAUGCACCUGUAGUCCCAACUACUCAGGAGGCUGAGGUGGGAGGAUCACUUGAGCCCAGGAGGUAGAGGCUGCAGUGAGCCAUGAAUGUGCCACUGCACUCCAGCCUAGGAAACAAAGCAAGACUGUCUCUAAAAAAAAAACAAAAAAAACAAAAAGCAACAACAAAAAAAUUGGCCAAUGCUAAGUCAGGGAUUCAAAAUAUUCAACCACCUUUGGAACUGGACUUUCUGAGGGUGUUUUAGUUGUCAAUUAGGCAAAUGGAGUCUUAUCUGUUUGUCCUCUUCCCCUUCCAAGAACCCAUUGACCUCCUUCCUCCUCUUCAAGCCUUGAGUACCUAGUAUGUAGGUAGCCAGGACAGCUGUAAUUUGAUAUGUGAAUGUGUUUCCUCCUUUACAUCCUGGGAGAUUGUUAUGGUUACUGCUGCUCUCAAAGACAGGAAUUGAAAUGCAGCUUGGUUGGACUGGAGAGUCUCAGAGUGAGGAUUCCUGAGGUCAAGUGCCAGCCCCAUCACUCACAGGUUAUGUGACCUGAGUAAGUCAUUGGAUACUUCUUGAUCCCAUCCCUUCUCAGGUACUCAGGCUUUGCUACCGCAAUCACCCCCUCUUUCCCGCAGCCAUUUUCAGCUUCUCUGCCAUAUCAUUCUUACCAGCAAUACCAGUAGUUGUAAUUCCUCCCAUAGUAAAAGCCCAAAGUAAAGACAAAACCUCCCUGUCUUCCCAUUCACAUCUAGUUCCACUUUGAUCUUUUGCUUUCCUUUACAACAAAAUUUCUAAGAAAAUAAUUGCUUAGUGUUAUGGGCUGAAUUGUGUGCCUCGCAAAUUCAUAUGUUGAAGCCCUAAUCUCUAGCACUUCAGAAUGUGACUAUACAUGACUGGGCGCAGUGGCUCACGCCUGUAAUCCCAGUACUUCGGGAGGCUGAGGCUGUCAGAUCACCUGAGGUCAGGAGUUUGAGGCCAGCCUGGUCAAUACGGUAAAACCCUGUCUCUACAUGGUGGCGUGUGCCUGUAAUCCCAGGUACUCAGGAGACUGAGGCAGGAGAAUUGCUUGAACCCAGAAGGCGGAGGCUGCAGUGAGCUGAGAUCAUGCCACUGCACUCUAGCCUGAGCGACAGAGCAAGACUCCAUCUCAAAAAAAAAAAAAAAAAAAAAAAAAAAAAAGAAUGUGACUAUGUGUGGAGAUAGGGCUUUGAGACAGGUGAUCAACAGGUCAUUAGGGUGGCCCCUAAUCCCGUAUGACUAGUGUCCUUACGAGAAGAGGAGAUUAGGAUGCAGACAAACACAGGCAGAGCAUGUGGGCACACAGGGAGAAGACAGCCAUCCACAAGCCAAGGAGAGAGGCCUCAGCAGAAACCAGCCCUGACAACACAUUGAUUUUGGAUUUCCAGCCUCCAGAACUAUCAAGAAAAUACCUUUCUGUUCUGUAAGAUGCCCAAUCUGCAGUUCUUAGUUAUGGCAGCUCCAGAAGUAAAUACAUUUAGACCUUCUAUGUCUGCUUCCUCACCUCCAGUCUCUCUUUCUUGUGAUUUUCCUCCUUCUUUUUAACCUACUCCAGUCAGGACUCCAUGGCCACCAACCACUCCUCACGAACUGCCUGUGCCGAAGUCACCACUGACCACCAUCUGUUGUGCUGGACUCCUGCUGACUCCAGUAGGGCUGGCACCAUGUCAGAAAGGCCGAAGAAGAGACCUGGAGACAACAAACGAGACAUAGGGUUUGUUGGAUGGAUUUACAAACAGGGAUGGUCCAAUGGCGGUGAGCUGGACAGGAGCACCACCACCAUUUGUAAAAAGCAUGCAGUUUGUAUGGCAUUUUCACUUAGCAACCUCCACCUAGCAGCAACCUUCAUUUAACCCCAAACAAAGAGCCUCUUUCCCCUGUACAACCCUCAUUCCAAGAGGUGGCCCGGGGGUUCAGAUGUCCUUCAUGAAUAAUGAGUGAAUUUCUGGGUUGGCCGCUUCCACGUUCCUCAGCUC